rnacentral:rRNA from 1 species
ACCGCGGUUAUACGAGMGGCCCAAGUUGACAGACAUCGGCGUAAAGAGUGGUUAAGGAAACCCCAUUACUAAAGCCGAACGCCCUCAGAACUGUCAUACGUUCCCGAAGGUAAGAAGCCCCACUACGAAAGUGGCUUUAACCACACCCGACCCCACGAAAGCUGUGAAACAAACUG